ensembl:rRNA 5S_rRNA 5S ribosomal RNA
GCUGGCUGCUAGCUCUUUGCAACUCUCACAUGGUAACCCAUUGAAGCUAAGUAGGGCUGCACCCGGUCAGUACCUGGAUGGGAGACCACAUGGGAAAGCGAGGUUGCUGCCGGAC